rnacentral:tRNA from 1 species
UCCUGGUGGCUCAGAGUGUAAAGCAUCUGCCCGCCAUGCAGGAGACCCAGGUUUGAUCCCUGGGCCAGGAA